rnacentral:tRNA from 1 species
GGGUAGGUAGCUCAGGUGGUAGAGCACCGCACUGAAAAUGCGGGUGUCGCCGGUUCGACUCCGGCCCUGCCCACCA